AACUGCAUUUGAUACUGGCAAACUAGAGUAUGGUAGAGGAAUGGGGAAUUUCUGGUGUAGCGGUGAAAUGCGUAGAGAUCAGAAGGAACACCAAUGGCGAAGGCAACAUUCUGGACCAAUACUGACACUGAGGGACGAAAGCGUGGGGAUCAAACAGGAUUAGAUACCCUGGUAGUCCACGCUGUAAACGAUGAGUACUAGCUGUUGGAUUCGGUGUAAAGGAUCUAGUGGCGUAGCUAACGCGUUAAGUACUCCGCCUGGGGACUACGGCCGCAAGGCUAAAACUCAAAGGAAUUGACGGGGACCCGCACAAGCGGUGGAGCAUGUGGUUUAAUUCGAUGCAACGCGAAGAACCUUACCUGGUCUUGACAUCCUGCGAACUUUCUAGAGAUAGAUUGGUGCCUUCGGGAACGCAGUGACAGGUGCUGCACGGCUGUCGUCAGCUCGUGUUGUGAAAUGUUGGGUUAAGUCCCGCAACGAGCGCAACCCCUAUUGAUAGUUACCAUCAUUAAGUUGGGUACUCUAUUGAGACUGCCGCUGACAAGGCGGAGGAAGGUGGGGACGACGUCAAGUCAUCAUGGCCCUUACGACCAGGGCUACACACGUGCUACAAUGGGUAUUACAGAGGGCAGCGAAGUAGCGAUAUGGAGCGAAACUCAGAAAGGUACUCUUAGUCCGGAUUGCAGUCUGCAACUCGACUGCAUGAAGUCGGAAUCGCUAGUAAUCGCAGGUCAGAAUACUGCGGUGAAUACGUUCCCGGGUCUUGUACAAAGGGCCCGUCACGCCAUGGG
rnacentral:rRNA from 1 species